CCAAUUUCGAAAGUCAUUGAAAAUUUAUAGUCCCCUUCUUUUUUAAGUUAUGUGGUACGUUCAUUAAUGAUGUAGCAUUGAGUUAGCAUCAGUGAGCUAGAAUACAAAGUCACAUCUAUAACUUCCAUGAAAAUAGAAAAAGAAAAAUAUCAAAUUAAUGGGUGACCACACAAUUAUUAAAUUACAACUCAUGAAUUUUUCUAGAAGAAUCUCAUGGUAACAUUGCUUAAUGACAUUCACAUACACCUAUUUUUCUUUCAAAGGGAGAACUUGCAAACAAAUAACACAAUGGUUUCUUAGGAGGAGAGCACAUAUACUCUGGACAAUCAAAAUCUUCUGUACAUAAAAAAGUCGCUGUAAAAAAAUAGAAUAAAACGAUCUUACUAAAAUGAAAUUAAAUAUUAUUUAGGAACUAACUAAUAAAAUUUGAGAAGUAUAAACAAUGACUUACAUUCAUCGUUCAUUGCAACGAUAGAUACAGAAAGAAAGAUAAUCAUAGUACAAAUAAAUUUCACAAUUUUAGCCAUAUUUAUCCCUUUUUGCAUG
rnacentral:lncRNA from 1 species